CCUACGGGUGGCAGCAGUGAGGAAUAUUGGUCAAUGGGCGGAAGCCUGAACCAGCCAAGUAGCGUGCAGGAUGACGGCCCUACGGGUUGUAAACUGCUUUUAUACGGGAAUAACGCGCCUUACGUGUAGGGCUUUGUAUGUACCGUAUGAAUAAGGACCGGCUAAUUCCGUGCCAGCAGCCGCGGUAAUACGGAAGGUCCGGGCGUUAUCCGGAUUUAUAGGGUUUAAAGGGAGCGUAGGCCGGAUGUCAAGCGUGCUGUGAAAGGUCCGGGCUCAACCCGGGCCUUGCAGCGCGAACUGGAGGGCUUGAGUCCGCGGAGGGCAGGCGGAAUUCGUGGUGUAGCGGUGAAAUGCUUAGAUAUGACGAAGAACCCCGAUUGCGAAGGCAGCUUGCUGCAGCGGAACUGACGCUGAUGCUCGAAAGCGCGGGUAUCGAACAGGAUUAGAUACCCGAGUAGUC
rnacentral:rRNA from 1 species